UACGUAGGGGGCUAGCGCUGUCCGGAAUCAUUGGGCGUAAAGAGCGUGUAGGCUGCUCGGUAAGUCCGCUGUAAAAGUCAAAGGCUCAACCUUUGAAUGUCAGUGGAUACUGCCGGGCUAGAGUCCGGAAGAGGCGAGUGGAACUCCUGGUGUAGCGGUGGAAUGCGCAGAUAUCAGGAAGAACACCGGUGGCGAAGGCGGGUCUCUGGGCAACAACUGACGCUGAGGAGCGAAAGCGUGGGGAGCGAACAGG
rnacentral:rRNA from 1 species